AGAGUUUGAUUAUGGCUCAGGAUGAACGCUGGCGGCGUGCUUAACACAUGCAAGUCGAACGGAGUGUAAACGCUGAAGCGAUUUCGGUCAAUUCUUGUUAUACUUAGUGGCGGACGGGUGAGUAACGCGUGGGUAACCUGCCGUAUGCAGGGGGACAACAGUUGGAAACGACUGCUAAUACCGCAUAAGCGCACAGUACCGCAUGGUACGGUGUGAAAAGAACUAUCGGCAUACGAUGGACCCGCGUCUGAUUAGCUGGUUGGUGAGGUAACGGCCCACCAAGGCGACGAUCAGUAGCCGGCCUGAGAGGGUGAACGGCCACAUUGGGACUGAGACACGGCCCAAACUCCUACGGGAGGCAGCAGUGGGGAAUAUUGGACAAUGGGGGAAACCCUGAUCCAGCCGACGCCGCGUGAGUGAAGAAGUAUUUCGGUAUGUAAAGCUCUAUCAGCAAGGAAGAAAAUGACGGUACUUGACUAAGAAGCUCCGGCUAAAUACGUGCCAGCAGCAGC
rnacentral:rRNA from 1 species